CCGUUACUCCGUUGGAGUCCGUGGAGUCUGUGUUUUGUUCCACCCAGAUCAAUAUUUGAAAAGGAUGGACAAAAAGAAAAUACCAGCAAAAAAGAGAGUACGGGUUCCCACCCAGAAAAUGAAGGACCUGCAGAACUCCCCUCCACCAAAUGAGCAAUCUGGGUGUUUUGCAUUUGUCAGAUGGGAGGAUGGUUAUACUGCCAAAAUCUUUAC